CUUUUGUACUAGCUGAAGUUAGGAACAGAGCUUGCCAGGAACUGCUGAGAAUUUAUCACUGGGCAGAUUGACUCAGACAUCCCAUCCAUUCACAAAGCUUGCAUAUGACAAUGGAAGGAAGUUGUCUUGGGAAGGAGGAGAAUCUCAGCCACCUACAAGACAGGGAUGGAUGCACAACACGGAUAAGGUUCAGUGUCAGAAAGUUAGAUCCUAUUGCAUUUGGCUAUUCAGAUCCUCCUUCAAGUGUACGCCAAUGUGAGUGUGGUACAAUGAGUGAAAAUUGAAGAAGGGAACGUACCUCUUUUGCUUGGUUCUCAGCCAGAGCAUGAAGUCAUCUGUGCACAAGUGAAGCAAGGAACACAAGAAAAGGAUGAACUAUGGGAUUCUGGUAGGGCCAAUUAAUUCUUAGGACACUCUUUAUUUCCUUCUUUUCUAAUGAGAAA
rnacentral:lncRNA from 1 species